rnacentral:lncRNA from 13 species
GGAAUUUAGCCACGUGUGUGCCACACACUUAUAGUUCCUGCUACUUUGGAGGCUGAGGCUGGAGGAUUGCUUAAGCCCAGGAGGUAGAGGCUGCAAUGAGCUGUGAUUGCACCACUGCACUCCAGCCUGGGAAACAGAGCAACACCGUGUCUCACACAUGAAGAAAAAAAAGGAAAAAAUGAGGAAAAGAAACCUGAAAAGGGUUAAAUAUUUUGCUCAAGAACACACCACUGGGCUGGGCAUAAUGGUUCACACCUGUAAUCCCAGUACUUUGGAAAGCUGAGGUGAGUGGAUCACCUGAGGCCAGGAGUUUGAGACCAGCCUGGCCAACUAACAUGGCGAAAACCUGUGUAUACUAAAAAUACAAAAAAUUACCUGGGUGUGGUGACAGAGGCCUGUAGUCCCAGCUACUUGGAAGGCUGAGGCAGGAGAAUUGCUUGAACUCGGGAGACAGAACCGGAAGUGCAGGGAGCUGGGAUUGCACCACUGCACCCUAGCCUGGGUGAGAGAACAAGACUCCAACAAAAAAAAAAACCCACCUGAAACUGAUGGAUUCAGAGAGUGAUCUGAAAAAUUGAUUUGAUGCCCAAACCCAUGAUCUUUUUUUACACUCCACAAACUUUAUUAAGAAAGGUGCUGAUUGUAUUGUUAGAUACAGUCUCAACAUACGCCUCUCCAGUCAGUAUCUAAAAAAUUAUUCCUGCUUCCCCACAGCUUCACAACUCACCUUGGUGCAUCUCUGUCCCACACGGGAUUCAGAAGUCUAAUCAGGAAUGUAAUUAGGAACAUGAUGCAGAUGGGCAAGGCCUGUCCCUUCCUUCUUCAGCUGCUGUGUGGUGCCAGGACAACCAUCAUAGUUACACAACAGAUGGAUGCGGCAACACAGAACCUUCGCUUAAGACUCAGCUGCGGAAUUGAGUUGCUUUUUUUAAUGGAAAAGGAAAAGAAUCACCCAGAAGGAUAACCUUGAAUUUAGAAAGAGCAGGUGGGUUGUGUGAUCAGCUAGGCCUCUUCUGUACGAGGUAGAGCACAUUUCAGAAUUGUGUGUGUAUCAGUGGUCACUGCGAUUUAAGUAAAAAGAACAAGAAUUCAGAAAAUUAUAUCCUAUCCAAAAAAGGC